GAGCAGGCUCUGAAUGGAAAUUUUUGGGUUUUAUUUUUGGUUUUGUUUUGUUUUUUUAAGAGACAGAAGGGAGAGAUGUGCUGUAGUUGUUGCUUUUCUGUCUGGAGUGCCCACCUCUGAAUUCCUAUUGGUGGGUUAAGUCAGGGUCUCUUUCACCAUCGAUGUCAAGUUCAGUUCCCACAGACUGAGCACCUCCCACAAGGUCCGUGCUCCUGCGAGUCCUCAUUUGUAGGGACCACUCUCCCUAUUGUACAGAGGGAGAAACUGAGAAACCGCAACUCCUCCAGGAUCCAAGAGCUGGCCUUCGGUGAGCUCCCGCUUUGGAGAGGUUUCUGUGUUUGUUUCUUGGCCCUAGUCAGUAUUUGUAUUUCCCACAUGGUCUUUAUUCUCCUGGAUUACAGAAAACUUGGAAGUGGAAAAGAAGAGGCUUCAUAGAUAUCUUUGAGAACAAGUGCGGGACACAGUGUGAGCGGAGGAGGCCAGUCAAAGACAGGCCACUGUGUGCCUCCGCCGGCCGGCAUCCUGCCGCUUCACCUCCACUGUGUGCACCCAGUUCAAGCCCAGCACAGGCAAACGCCCCUCCACGUGAAGACGCACACGGGCAGAGCUAGCAAACAGCCACGAGCUCUGGCGCCAGGGAGCGAGGACUUCUGAGCUGGUCGCCUUCCUUCUUGCAAUCUCAUGAGGGCCCCACAGCAAAUAACCGUGCUUCCUUGUGUUUACGGGCUUCCCUGGUGACUCAGUGGAGGUCACCUGGUUCAUUGUCUGCUCCAAGAAUCUUCAUAG
ensembl:lncRNA